rnacentral:rRNA from 1 species
AUUGAACGCUGGCGGCAGGCCUAACACAUGCAAGUCGAGCGGAUGAAGGGAGCUUGCUCCUGGAUUCAGCGGCGGACGGGUGAGUAAUGCCUAGGAAUCUGCCUGGUAGUGGGGGAUAACGUCCGGAAACGGGCGCUAAUACCGCAUACGUCCUGAGGGAGAAAGUGGGGGAUCUUCGGACCUCACGCUAUCAGAUGAGCCUAGGUCGGAUUAGCUAGUUGGUGGGGUAAAGGCCAACCAAGGCGACGAUCCGUAACUGGUCUGAGAGGAUGAUCAGUCACACUGGAACUGAGACACGGUCCAGACUCCUACGGGAGGCAGCAGUGGGGAAUAUUGGACAAUGGGCGAAAGCCUGAUCCAGACAUGCCGCGUGUGUGAAGAAGGUCUUCGGAUUGUAAAGCACUUUAAGUUGGGAGGAAGGGCAGUAAGCUAAUACCUUGCUGUUUUGACGUUACCAACAGAAUAAGCACCGGCUAACUUCGU